AUCCAAUUGACGAGUCCCAAAUAGGACGAAACGCUCGCCCUUGAU
rnacentral:hammerhead_ribozyme from 1 species